AAGCUGAAUGUGAGAGUUGGAGGGGGCCAAAUCAUGAGCUUCAGAUCCAGCCAUUGCACAAGAUUUGGUUUCCUCCAAUAUCUCAUCUUCAACUG
rfam:Leersia perrieri chromosome 8, whole genome shotgun sequence.